rnacentral:rRNA from 1 species
GGCGUAAAGGACGCGUAGGCGGGAUAGUAAGUCUGAUGUGAAAUCCUAUGGCUUAACCAUAGAACUGCAUUGGAAACUACUAACCUAGAGUAUGGAAGGGGGAGAUGGAAUUAG